rnacentral:rRNA from 1 species
GUGCAGCAGGCGAGAAACCUUCGCAAUGCGGGAAACCGCGACGAGGGGACUCCCAGUGCCUACGCUCAGCGUAGGCUGUUCCCGAGCCUAGAAAGCUCGGGGAGUAAGGGCUGGGUAAGGCGGGUGCCAGCCGCCGCGGUAAUACCCGCAGCCCGAGUGGUGGCCACUAUUAUUGGGCCUAAAGCGUCCGUAGCCGGCCCGGUAAAUGCCUGGGUAAAUCGUGAGGCCUAACCUCACGAAUUCCGGGUAGACUGCCGGGCUAGGGACCGGAGGAGGGAGAGGGUACUCCAGGGGUAGGGGUGAAAUCCUGUAAUCCCUGGAGGACCACCGGUGGCGAAGGCGCUCUCCUAGGACGGGUCCGACGGUGAGGGACGAAAGCCAGGGGAGCGAACCGGAUUAGAUACCCGUGUAGU